rnacentral:rRNA from 1 species
GACGAACGCUGGCGGCGUGCUUAACACAUGCAAGUCGAGCGGUAAGGCCCCUUCGGGAGUACACGAGCGGCGAACGGGUGAGUAACACGUGAGCAAUCUGCCCUUCUCAUCGGAAUAACCAUUGGAAACGAUGGCUAAUGCCGAAUACGACUUCCUUUCGCAUGUCAGGAAGUGGAAAGCUCCGGCGGAGAAGGAUGAGCUCGCGGCCUAUCAGCUUGUUGGUGAGGUAAUGGCUAACCAAGGCGACGACGGGUAGCCGGCCUGAGAGGGUGACCGGCCACACUGGGACUGAGACACGGCCCAGACUCCUACGGGAGGCAGCAGUGGGGAAUAGUGGAGAAUGGGCGAGAGCCUGAGCCAGCAAGGCCGCGUGGUGGAUGACGGCCUUCGGGUUGUAAACCUCUUUCAGCAGGGUCCAAGCGAAAGUGACGGCACCUGCAGAAGAAGGACCGGCCAACUACGUGCCAGCCGCCGCCGUAA